UCGGGUGCACUGAGGAAUGUGUGGGUGACUCAACGUCUGCAACGGGUGAGAAACAAGGCCAAAAGCAGACCUUUCCAACACUGUGACUGACAGCUGGUUGCAGCCUCACAGCAUCACUAAAAGUGCCUCUACAACUUCAUUUCCUGCUAGGCCCCAGCUCUGACUCUCCUUCAUCUGACCUU
rnacentral:lncRNA from 1 species